rnacentral:rRNA from 1 species
UACGGGGGGGGCAAGCGUUGUUCGGAAUUACUGGGCGUAAAGCGCACGUAGGCGGAUUGUUAAGUCAGGGGUGAAAUCCUGGAGCUCAACUCCAGAACUGCCUUUGAUACUGACGGUCUUGAGUUCGGGAGAGGUGAGUGGAACUGCGAGUGUAGAGGUGAAAUUCGUAGAUAUUCGCAAGAACACCAGUGGCGAAGGCGGCUCACUGGCCCGAUACUGACGCUGAGGUGCGAAAGCGUGGGGAGCAAACAGGG